AAGGAACGCUAGCUAUAUGCUUGACACAUGCAAGUCGAACGUUGUUUUCAGGGAGCAGGGCAGAAAGAAAAAAGGCUCCUAGCUAAAGGUAGCUUGUCUCGCCCAGGAGGUGAGAACAGUUGAGAACAAAGUGGCGAACGGGUGCGUAAUGCGUGGGAAUCUGCCGAACAGUUCGGGCCAAAUCCUGUAGAAAGCUAAAAAGCGCUGUUUGAUGAGCCUGCGUAGUAUUAGGUAGUUGGUCAGGUAAAGACUGACCAAGCCAAUGGUGCUUAGCUAGUCUUUUCGGAUGAUCAGCCACACUAGGACUGAGACACGGCCCAGACUCCGACGGGGGGCAACAGUGGGGAAUCUUGGACAAUGGGCGAAAGCCCGAUCCAGCAAUAUCGCAUGAGUGAAGAAGGGUAAUGCCGCUUGUAAAGCUCUUUCGUUGAGUGCGCGAUCAUGACACGACUCGAGGAAGAAGCCCCGGCUAACUCCGUGCCAGCCGCCGCAGUAAAAC
rnacentral:rRNA from 1 species